CACCUGACCUGGUAACACUGCAAGAAAAAUACACAUCUGGCAAUGCAGACCUGCCAGACGCCAGCCAGCCGGGGACCCCACGUCGAUACUAGCGUGGAAGCGUCUUUGUGAUGGCUGUCAGGCAGACCUGAGCCAGUUCUGCCGCUCUACACUCCGUGGAUCGUUCAUCCUACUACUGUUUUAUGUCAUGUGACUACGUCUCUUGAACGCUUGGAUUUGGUGGAGCAAGGUGGCCAGGGUGUGGGGCCAGUGCAAGUGAUCUCAGGACUGCUUUGGGCUCCAUAGGACCAGUGAUGUGACCCAUGAACUACCCUUAACAAUUGUGAUGAAGAACCAGAAGUGCGUUGUAGGUGACGAGAUAACUAUCCCAGGUCAUCCCGGAAGUGGCGAGGUGACCCCAUACAGCUCCACAAGGUCGUGGAGGACGCCAGACAUAGCCACGUGGUCGCCUACACUCAGCCAUCCACCUCACCUGCCCCAGACUGCUACCCGGACACCAUCCAGCCACAAGAACCCAGAUAAGCACUUCCGGGGUCCUUAGUUGUGGUUAGCUAGCUAGUUUGUUUAGGGGUCACUUGCUGUAGAUAGGAACCCUCCUCGGUCUGCUGCUAUUUUUUUUAUUUUUAUUUUUUGAGGUGUAACGCUGUGCUCCACGUGAGAGUGAUAGUGUUUAUCUUUAUUUUUUUAAAUUUAUUUAUUUAUUUUUCUGAAGACCAGUUCUGAGGUUAUCUUGGAGGUUAACGGAAAAGAGUUCUUCACACCUGUGCUUGUUGUUUUAUUUUAUUUUUUUAUUGGUCGCUUUUCGUUUUUUGUUGUGAUUGUUAUUAAUUUUAUUUAUUUGUAUUUAAAUAUGUGAGUGCGAAUGCAGCACAAUAUAUAAAGGUGUCCAUUCCAGAGUGAAAGGAAGGCGUGCACAGGGUAGAGUGAACAGGAUGCAGUGCCUAUUUAAUCACCAGAUUUUGAUUGAUUGAAGCAAAUGAAAACUUUGGUAUAAAUUGUUAUCUUUCCAAGGGUUGAGGAGAACAUGGUCGUGGUUCAAGUGAAGCCACUACAGCCACUCCCUGACAAGCCUUCCACACCGACAGUGGCAGCAGACACACAAGAGAGGAUGGUGUGGUGGACAAGAGGAUGCAGGGAGACAGCAGACAGAAUGGAAGCUACAGAUGAAAGAAGAGCAGGUCAAGCCAUGGCAGCAGACACAUAGACAGACAGAUUGGAUAAGAAAGAAGUAUUAUUUAGUGAGACAGGACCACUGGAAGCUGUCAGAGUGCUGUGGCACGUGGCAAGAACCAAGUGUUCAGGAGCACACAAUGUCCCUUCACCAGUCAGCAGGUCUGGGCGGCUUGGAAGUCUCACUACAAACUGAAGACCCGUUCACUUGAAGGACACAGUUGGAGUCGGACACAAGAUCCAAGAGGGAGGAGUCAUUUUUAAACGAGAGCUUCAGGCAGAAAAUUCGAGUGGAUUUUCAACUCUAAAAAUAACUUAAUUUUUUGGGGUAUUUUGAACCUUCUUUAUCUUGAAAAAUAACUCCAGAUAUUAUGACUCUAGCUGGAAGUUGACCUGAGCAAUGUAGGGUUUGCUGCAGUGAGAUUACCAAGGCACGAGUGUCUGGGAUUUAAAGAUGAUGGAUAUGUGUCCUGUGUGCUGCUGUGCUGGGAGGAGAGGAGCAGCAGCAGUCGUGGGGCUCUGCUGCUGCUGUCACUGGUGCAGCUGUUCACUCCUGCAGCCACCUUCCCUCAACAUACUGUGUCUUUCCUCACCUGCAAUGAACAACUAUGAACAAUACUUCUCCUCCGAUGAGGAACAGUGAAUAACCUCUCUCUCUCUCUCUCUCUCUCUCUCUCUCUCUCUCUCUCUCUCUCUCUCUCUCUCUCUCUCUCUCUCUCUCUCUCUCUCUCUCUCUCUCUCUCUCUCUCUCUCUCUCUCCACAGUAUGUCCCCCACAGUAUGUUUACAAACCCACAGUGACUCUCCACAGCCCCUCACCAACAAUUGUCUCCUUCACACACACACACACACACACAAAUGUUGGAAUCUUGUAGUGUCUACAACAAGGAAUGGAACCAAAAUCGACAA